AUUUAAGAUAUACUGUUACUCUUUUGAGGAUCUGAGGAGUUGUACAACAACUUUGGAAGAUCGGAAGGGGCGAAUGAAAUGGAGAUUUUAAGGCCUACAUCUUUUAUAAAAAUAUUAUUGCUUUUGGAGUUCAUGUGAAGGAGUUAUAAGGAGUUGAAGGCGGUGCUUUCAAAUCAAAGGCAGUAAGUGAGUAGUUUUAUUCAUAGUAAUGGUUGGAACCAUAACUUGAAUUUUUGGACGAACUUUUGGCUCAAACUUUUUAGAGAAU
rnacentral:lncRNA from 1 species